rnacentral:lncRNA from 1 species
AGCUGGACUUGAUGAAGGAAGCAGGGGCUGCAGGAACUUUGCUGGGAUGAAUAAACAACCACAGGAGAAAAACAGCUUCCCUGAGUCGCACACAGCGCCCAAGAUGGUGGUUCUAAGAACAUUUGGCACUUGGAAAAAUUGUGCCCUGCUAAAAGUAUCAGGAUUUGUUUCUAAGGAGGAGGAGAA